AUUGAACGCUGGCGGUAGGCCUAACACAUGCAAGUCGAACGGCAGCACAGUAAGAGCUUGCUCUUACGGGAGGCGAGUGGCGGACGGGUGAGGGAUACAUCGGAAUCUACUUUUUCGUGGGGGAUAACGUAGGGAAACUUACGCUAAUACCGCAUACGACCUACGGGUGAAAGCAUGGGAUCUUCGGACCUUGCGCGAUUGAAUGAGCCGAUGUCGGAUUAGCUAGUUGGCGGGGUAAAGGCCCACCAAGGCGACGAUCCGUAGCUGGUCUGAGAGGAUGAUCAGCCACACUGGAACUGAGACACGGUCCAGACUCCUACGGGAGGCAGCAGUGGGGAAUAUUGGACAAUGGGCGCAAGCCUGAUCCAGCCAUACCGCGUGGGUGAAGAAGGCCUUCGGGUUGUAAAGCCCUUUUGUUGGGAAAGAAAAGCAGCAGGUUAAUACCCCGCUGUUCUGACGGUACCCAAAGAAUAAGCACCGGCUAACUUCGUG
rnacentral:rRNA from 1 species